UUCGUACCCUCUUAGGCGUCUCUACAUCCUCCCCACCGCGGAGACGGGGCCGCCCGAGAGGAGUUGCCCACCUGGCAGCGUCGCCUCCGCCUUUGUUUCCCGCCCAGAGGGAUGCUGGCAGUUGUGAUGUAUGUCCUGUCCAUGGAGAGACUCAUGUGACAAAGACCUCAGGGAGAGUCUUGAUCAACAGACAGAGAGGAGGAAGUGAGGCCCCCCAGACCAACAGCUCACAGAGUCCUGCUCAUAACAUGGAAGUGAGUAGGUACAGAUCCUCCCCAGUCAAGACUCAUUUGAGACCAAAACCACAGGCUCCUGAGAACUUGAGGCAGUCACGAGAUUGUGAGCUUCUAGGUCAGGGACCACGUGGGUCAUUUUCAGAACCAGCUCCUGGACCACCGGCUGAUGUUGAUCCUGCUCCUGCACUAACACUGGAGCUCCAUAGUGCACCAACUAUUCUGUCACCAGCUCCAUUGCCAGCGUCACAUGAACAGCCAGCUGGAGGCAUAAAUUUCAAUCCUGGGCCACCUCCAGAAAUGGCUCCCAGAUCAUCUGCUGAUGUCGAUCCUGCUCCUGCUCAACAUAAGAGCUCUAUAGAGCACCAGGUCCUCCAUCUCCAGCUCUGCCUCGGUCACCAGAGGUUGAGUCAUUUGCCGCACCUCCUCCACAGCCACCCCUCAU